GGAUACGGCCAUACUGCGCAGAAAGCACCGCUUCCCAUCCGAACAGCGAAGUUAAGCUGCGCCAGGCGAUGUUAGUACUGGGGUGGGCGACCACCCGGGAAUCCACCGUGCCGUAUUCUCCU
rnacentral:rRNA from 1 species